CAAACAGGAUUAGAUACCCUGGUAGUCCACGCCGUAAACGAUGAGUGCUAAGUGUUAGGGGGUUUCCGCCCCUUAGUGCUGCAGCUAACGCAUUAAGCACUCCGCCUGGGGAGUACGACCGCAAGGUUGAAACUCAAAGGAAUUGACGGGGGCCCGCACAAGCGGUGGAGCAUGUGGUUUAAUUCGAAGCAACGCGAAGAACCUUACCAGGUCUUGACAUCCUUUGACCACUCUAGAGAUAGAGCUUUCCCUUCGGGGACAAAGUGACAGGUGGUGCAUGGUUGUCGUCAGCUCGUGUCGUGAGAUGUUGGGUUAAGUCCCGCAACGAGCGCAACCCUUAUUGUUAGUUGCCAUCAUUUAGUUGGGCACUCUAGCGAGACUGCCGGUGACAAACCGGAGGAAGGUGGGGAUGACGUCAAAUCAUCAUGCCCCUUAUGACCUGGGCUACACACGUGCUACAAUGGGAAGUACAACGAGUCGCUAGACCGCGAGGUCAUGCAAAUCUCUUAAAGCUUCUCUCAGUUCGGAUUGCAGGCUGCAACUCGCCUGCAUGAAGCCGGAAUCGCUAGUAAUCGCGGAUCAGCACGCCGCGGUGAAUACGUUCCCGGGCCUUGUACACACCGCCCGUCACACCA
rnacentral:rRNA from 1 species